rnacentral:tRNA from 1 species
CCACCUGUGGCCUAGUGGGCAAGGUUACAGUCUUGGGAACACGGGGUCGUGGGUUCAAGCCCAGCUAGGAACA